UACGGGGGGGGCAAGCGUUGUUCGGAAUUACUGGGCGUAAAGGGCGCGUAGGCGGCCUGUUAAGUCGGACGUGAAAUCCCUCGGCUCAACCGGGGAACUGCGUCCGAAACUGGCGGGCUUGAAUUCGGGAGAGGGAUGUGGAAUUCCAGGUGUAGCGGUGAAAUGCGUAGAUAUCUGGAGGAACACCGGUGGCGAAGGCGGCAUCCUGGACCGACAUUGACGCUGAGGCGCGAAAGCCAGGGGAGCAAACGGG
rnacentral:rRNA from 1 species